rfam:Danio rerio chromosome 4, GRCz11 reference primary assembly.
GUCUCUGUGGCGCAAUCGGUUAGCAGGUUCGGCUGUUUACUUAAAAUUUGGUGGUUCAAGCCCACCCAGGGACG